rnacentral:rRNA from 1 species
UACGUAGGGGGCAAGCGUUGUCCGGAUUUAUUGGGCGUAAAGAGCGUGUAGGCGGCCUGACAGGUCUGCUGUGAAAACUCGAGGCUCAACCUCGAGAUGUCGGCGGAAACCGUCUGGCUAGAGUCCGGAAGAGGAGAGUGGAAUUCCUGGUGUAGCGGUGAAAUGCGCAGAUAUCAGGAAGAACACCUAUGGCGAAGGCAGCUCUCUGGGACGGUACUGACGCUGAGACGCGAAAGCGUGGGGAGCGAACAGGAUUAGAUACCCUGGUAGUCCACGCCGUAAACGAUGGGCACUAGGUGUGGGGGGUGUCGACUCCCUCCGUGCCGACGCUAACGCAUUAAGUGCCCCGCCUGGGGAGUACGGCCGCAAGGCUAAAACUCAAAGGAAUUGACGGGGGCCCGCACAAGCAGCGGAGCAUGUGGUUUAAUUCGACGCGACGCGAAGAACCUUACCUGGGCUUGACAUGUUCCUGACAGCCGUGGAAACACGGUUUCCCUUCGGGGCAGGAUCACAGGUGGUGCAUGGCUGUCGUCAGCUCGUGUCGUGAGAUGUUGGGUUAAGUCCCGCAACGAGCGCAACCCCCGUCGCAUGUUGCCAGCAUUUAGUUGGGGACUCAUGCGAGACUGCCGGUGACAAACCGGAGGAAGGUGGGGAUGACGUCAAGUCAUCAUGCCCCUUAUGUCCAGGGCUACACACGUGCUACAUUGGCGCGUACAGAGGGCUGCGAUACCGCAAAAUGGAGCGAAUCCCUUAAAGCGCGUCUCGGUUCGGAUUGCAGGCUGAAACUCGCCUGCAUGAAGGCGGAGUUGCUAGUAAUCGCGGAUCAGCAACGCCGCGGUGAAUACGUUCUCGGGCCU